rnacentral:ncRNA from 2 species
CGACGCGAUGCGGGAGAAACCUCGACUUCUGAGGUGCCGUAGGAGCAAUCUCCUCCCCGGGAAUCUCUCAGGCGCAUGUACCGCAACGCGAAG